CUGGGCUACAAGCUGCACCACUACAGGGGACUGGCCAGAAGUUCAUAUGUAUUAUUGGAAAGCACCAAGUAAUCUGAUUUGUGAAUGUGCUCGAAGAGCCAAGAAAUCAACGUUCAACAACUCCCAGACUGCACUUCUGAGUCAGUAGGUCUGAUUUCACUGGAAGCAUCCCUCAGUAUGGUAUGGAUUUCCUGUCUUGCUGAGGCUGUUGCACUCGUCAGGCGAAGGAACUGAGGGUAAGAACCAAGUCUCAAGGAGGGGACAUGACCAUCAAGAAUGCCGGCAGCAGAUGGUAAACCGGACGCACCUGUCUAUCUGGACUCCACCUCCCCUCUCUGAGUACUGCUGAUUUGUGUGAAGCCUGUGUUCCAAUGGUACCCAGCAUAGGAGCCACCCAGGUCACUGGCUUAGCUCUAGCCCACUAGCAAAGUCGGCUGGACUUGUUAACAGGGACCAGACUGUGCGGACCGGGUAGAGGCAGCAGUUCUGGGACUGGAACCCCCGUGGAGUCCUGCAGCUUCCAAAGACAAACGACAGAGCCAGAUUUGGGGCUUCCCGCCUCAGUGGACAGGUGGUCACAGCCUUCAGCCUGGGCUCCAGGAGGAAUCACAAGCAAGACACUCUGCUAGGUGCUGUUGACACUGAGACACAGACAAGCAGGAAUGGAAGGAAGAGACCUGAAGCCACAGUGCUGCGAAGCCUUGGCGGCAUCAUUAAUGCAACUCUAGUGCUCUGGCGUGAGGAGGGGGCUGCCUGGCUGCUGCUCCUCUUCCUGCCCUGAAAUGGACGUUCUUUUAUUGCCCAUAAAUCUCUGCACAGUUCUCUGUGAAGACAAAUCGGAGGCCUCCUGGUCCCUUGUGUUUGUUGGGCCGGUCGGUGGCGG
rnacentral:lncRNA from 1 species